CCUACGGGUGGCAGCAGUGAGGAAUAUUGGUCAAUGGGCGCGAGCCUGAACCAGCCAAGCCGCGUGAGGGAAGACGGUCCUAUGGAUUGUAAACUUCUUUUGUUGGGGAGCAAAAGACGCCACGCGUGGCGUUCCGAGAGUACCUGAAGAAAAAGCAUCGGCUAACUCCGUGCCAGCAGCCGCGGUACUACGGAGGAUGCGAGCGUUAUCCGGAUUUAUUGGGUUUAAGGGGUGCGCAGGCGGAAGGUCAAGUCAGCGGUAAAAUUGAGAGGCUCAACCUCUUCGAGCCGUUGAAACUGGUUGUCUUGAGUGAGUGAGAGGUAUGCGGAAUGCGUGGUGUAGCGGUGAAAUGCAUAGAUAUCACGCAGAACUCCGAUUGCGAAGGCAGCAUACCGGCGCUCAACUGACGCUCAUGCACGAAAGUGUGGGUAUCGAACAGGAUUAGAUACCCCAGUAGUC
rnacentral:rRNA from 1 species